rnacentral:rRNA from 1 species
UCAGAGAAGAAGCUCUGACGGUAUCUGAGGAAUCAGCAUCGGCUAACUCUGUGCCAGCAGCCGCGGUAAUACGGAGGAUGCAAGCGUUAUCCGGAUUGAUUGGGCGUAAAGCGUCUGUAGGUGGUUACGCUAGUCGGCUGUUAAAGAUCAGGGCUGAACCCUGAGCAAGCAGUCGAAACUGCGUGGCUGGAGUACGGUAGGGGCAGAGGGAAUUCCCGGUGUAGCGGUGAGAUGCGUAGAUAUCGG